AUGGCGGCGGCGGAGUUGUCGUUGGCGGAGCUACAACAGCUCGUCAAGGAUUCCAUUGUCCAGAGCGCGGCGGUCUCGGAGGCAGGCCAACAGACGGCACGGACGGGACAGGAGUUGCGUGAGGCCGUCGACACUUACGCGACAUCGUCGGCCAAGGCAUUUGAUGCGCUUGCGCAGUCUACAACGGCGGCGCUCAACCGCACGGAAGCGACUAUGGGGCGGUCGCUCGGGGCGGUGCUGCACCGCGUGGAGGUGUUGGAGUGUGCACCACCGGCUCCCACCGAUCUGCCACCACGCCACCAGCGCGUAGAUCCACUCCGCCCUGAUGGACCGCGUGGAGAUCAGCACCAGCCAGGGAUUGACCUGCGGGGGAAUCGGGCCCCUAGGUUCAACCUGAACAUUGGUGAGCAUUCGAAAGCACAAACCCCGCCGUUUACUGAAUUGUCUGAUGAUGAGGAACAGUGCCUGUCACCUAAGUCAGUUCAGUUCUCAUCGACCACUCGUACUCAUACGCGGCUUCCUCACUCAGUAUUUGCUAAGUUUAACAAGAACAAGUAUUCCAGGACAAUUGAUUUGUUCUUUGCAUUGCGUCAGGAAGGAACAGUGGAGGAGUAUGGUCAUGUCUUUGAGGAGCUCAUGCAUAAAAUCCUGGUCUAUAAUCCUUCAUACGAUGAGAUAUUUUUUGUCAAUCGGUUCAUUGAAGGACUGAAAUCUGCUAUUCGAGUUCCAGUGAAACUGCAGCAUCCAGGAACUGUUGAUUCUGCUUUUCAAUUAGCACGGAUUCAGGAAGCACUGCUAGCAGAAGACAGUCUCAAGUGGCACAAGGGGUAUAAAUUCAAACCGUAUGUGCAUCAGGAGAUACUUGGUGCCACUCCGGAUAAGCAGCCUGUCGAUAAACUUCCGUUUACUGCCAGGGUUGACAACUUAAGAGCUCAACGCAGAUCAAGGGGGGAGUGUUUCAAAUGCGGUGAGAAAUUUGGGCCUAGCCAUAAGUGUCCUACUUCGGUGCAGUUACAUGUGAUGGAAGAACUAUCAUCAGCAUUGCAAAUUCCAGAUCAGAAUGAUAUUGUAUCAGUUAUCGCAGAGUCUGAGCCUGAUGCUGAACCCGAUGAGGCUGUCAUGGAAUUAUCCAUCCAUGCUUGGCGACUCAAACAUCCAGACCGGUGCAAGUGCUCCAGUCACGGCUCGUCAGAUUUGGUGGGCGAACAAGGCGGCAGUACAAGAUUGCCUGGAGUGGUCUUCCACUGUCCAUGGCUACUUGGGAGUGGUCCAGUGCUCUUCGAGAGCUGGCAUCAGCGUGAGGGCACGCUGUUUUCAAGAGGAGGGGCAUGCUAUGGUCCUUUUCAACGAUCCCAUACCCCAGCAAUGGCGAGGGAGUGCUACCAGUCGGUAGCACUUCUUCAGUUAGUUGCUCUCCUCUCUCUCUUUUUUUUGCAAAGACCUCGUUCACUAUCCAGCAACACACGCAGAGUCGCAGGAAAAACUAUCAGGCACAGGGAGUUAACUGAUGGGCCGGCCCAGCACGCGAGCAGCAAGACGGCAGAAAAACCCGAGCGAGCGCUCGUCCUCUCUUGCUGCGAGGGAGAAAUAGACGAGCCCGAGCCGUUCCUCUCCGCUCGUCUUCCCGACAGUCGGUCCCUGGCCGCGAAAUCUCAAAACCCUAGCCACGACGCGCUCCCCUCCCGACGCCCCUCGCCGCUCCCAGGAUCUGCGCGCAGCGUGACCCCCGGGCUCUGUUGGUACCACACGGGGUACCGGCAGAGGAGAGGGUUAGGGCGCCCUAGCUGA
rnacentral:rRNA from 1 species